rnacentral:rRNA from 1 species
CCUACGGGAGGCAGCAGUGAGGAAUAUUGGUCAAUGGACGAGAGUCUGAACCAGCCAAGUAGCGUGAAGGAUGACUGCCCUAUGGGUUGUAAACUUCUUUUAUAUGGGAAUAAAAUGUUCCACGUGUGGGAUUUUGUAUGUACCAUAUGAAUAAGGAUCGGCUAACUCCGUGCCAGCAGCCGCGGUAAUACGGAGGAUCCGAGCGUUAUCCGGAUUUAUUGGGUUUAAAGGGAGCGUAGGUGGAUUGUUAAGUCAGUUGUGAAAGUUUGCGGCUCAACCGUAAAAUUGCAGUUGAAACUGGCAGUCUUGAGGACAGUAGAGGGGGGCAGAAUUCGUGGUGUAGCGGUGAAAUGCUUAGAUAUCACGAAGAACUCCGAUUGCGAAGGCAGUUCACUGGACUGCAACUGACACUGAGGCUCGAAAGUGUGGGUAUCAAACAGGAUUAGAUACCCUAGUAGUC